UACAGAGGUGGCAAGCGUUGUUCGGAAUUACUGGGCGUAAAGGGCGCGUAGGCGGUUCGAUAAGUCCCGUGUGAAAUCCCCGAGCUCAACUCGGGAACUGCGUCCGAUACUGGUGGGCUUGAAUCCGGGAGAGGGAUGCGGAAUUCCAGGUGUAGCGGUGAAAUGCGUAGAUAUCUGGAGGAACACCGGUGGCGAAGGCGGCAUCCUGGACCGGCAUUGACGCUGAGGCGCGAAAGCUAGGGGAGCAAACGGG
rnacentral:rRNA from 1 species